rnacentral:rRNA from 1 species
GCCCUGUUUUUCAAAAACAUAGCCUAACGAACUAAUCUAUGUUAGGUUAUUUCUGCCCGGUGAUAUCUUCAACGGCCGCGGUAUCCUGACCGUGCAAAGGUAGCAUAAUCAUUUGCCUCUUAAUUAGAGGCUAGUAUGAAUGAAUAAACAUUUUUUUACUGUCUCACUAUAAAAAAUAAAAAUUUACUUUCAGGUGAAGAGGCCUGAAUAUACAAAAAAGACAAGAAGACCCUGUCAAGCUUUAUUUAUUAUCUUAAUCCUAAAAGAUAAGAAAUUUUGUUGGGGCAACAAAAAAUAAUAAAAAUCAUUUCUCUACUUAAGGAAUAUUUUCCUAUAAAAAAACCUUAAAAUUAAUUAAAAGAAAGCUACUGCAGGGAUAACAGGCUAAUACUUUUCAAGAGCUCAUAUCAACAAAAGUGAUUGGCACCUCGAUGUUGGCUUAGGAAACCUUAUUUGUGCAGAAGUAAAUAAAGGUGGUUUGUUCAACCAAUAAUAUCCUACAUGAUCUGA